rnacentral:tRNA from 1 species
GACUAAAAAACUUUUAUGAAGUAACAACCUCUUAAGUUGUAAAAGAAAUUUUUCUUUAGCCA